GAUAAAAACAAAAAUACACCAACUAUGGGCCCAAGGCCCAAUCCAAAAUAGCAAUCCUAACUUUUGUUUUUUUAAAAAAAAAAGUAGAUAGUAAUAAUAAGAGAGAGGCGAAUAACUUGCUUUGCUUGGAGAGAGAGGGAGAGGAAUUUUCAAAAUUGAAAAGAAAUCACUCAUAAAGCGACAAGUGGCGAGGGAGUAAUGAAAAUGAAACUUAAAAUAACCCUCAUUUCUCUCUCUUGAAAAAAAACUCCAGAAGAAAAAAACCAGUAAAUCAACUCUCUCUUCUCUCACUCCUAUUCACCUUCUUUUAAAAAUAAAUAAAUAAAAAUAGCUUCAUGUUUCAAGCCAAACCUUUCAUCUUAUCGUCCCACACAAACAUUAAAGAUCAACAUCUUUUGUGAAUAAUGAUGGAUAUCAAUGUAAUGAAAUAGAAAGCAAAGAUCAACGGAAAGAGGGGGAAAAAAGGUACCAUAUUGAAGCAAGGUGGUUGUUCGCGUGGUGCCGAUCGCGAAGUGAUGCCGGUGAUGGUGACAGAAUCAUGGCGACAUGAGUCCGAAGGGUUCUAUGUGUGGCAUUUCCGUAGAGUUUCUGACGAGCGCAACAGUGUGCGAUGGGAACAAAUUUGUACUGAGAUGUGUAAUGCUUCACCGUGGUAUGGUCUGCGUGCUCGUGGAGGAGACGUUGACGGCGGCGAUGUAUUUUGGUUUUCGUUGCGGUUUAAGGUGAGGAUCAGGCGGAUGUUGAAGGAUUUGAGCGGUGUGGAUGAAGAAUUUCGGUGAAGUUAAUGAGGGUAGGUUGUUGUUGGUGAAGGAAGAGAGAGGAAAGUGGUUGUUUGAAAGAUGAUAUUUUUAGAUUGAGGAAGAAAAGGAGUUGAGUGUGUGUUGUUGAGGGCGAAUCUGUGGUGUUUCCGGCGACGAUUUUUUGGAAGUGAAGGCGGAAGGUUGUUGAGCGAUUGAAGGUGAGUGACGGUUGUUAGGGUCGUAGUCGUCGAAGGUAGUGGUUGUGAGUUGAAGAAGAAGAGAAGAUCUGGAGACGUGAGGGUCGUUUGGAGGUUGUUGUUCAUUAGCCGGAGACGGAAAUGCAUUUGUUAUAGGUUCAUGUGUUCUUCUGAUAUGGUGGAGUUUUAUGAAAUGUUGUGUUUAAAAAUGGAGGAUGAAGGUGUUCAUCAUGAAUAAUAAACUUCUUCAAAUUUUUACAUCUUCAUGUUCAUUUUUGGUCAUAGGUUUGAAGAGACUUUGAUGGAAUGGAAAAGUGGUUGCUCCAAGCUUCAAGACAACAUGUUUUUGCGCCUAGGUCCAAAGGAGUGUUUAACCAGUCCAUUGAUUUUGGUCUUGGUCAUUAGAAUUAGGAACCUGUUUUUGCAGCAAAUUCCACUUAGUCAAAAAAUGUAGUCAUUUAGUUUAAUAAAAAAUUUUAAAGACAAAAUAUAUUUGGAUUAUUUGGA